AUUAUCAUUAUCAAUUGUUGUCAUUAUUUGUUUAUUUUUAUUUUAUUUAUCAUUAUUUAUUAUUAUUUGUAUAAGUUUUCCAGAUUAUUAUUAUUAUUAGUUUUGUUUUAUUAUUAUUAUCAUAUUUAUUUAUUGAUUAAUUGGUCAUUACUUAUUAAAUAUUUUUAAAAAAAAAAAUUGAUUUAAUUGUCCGAUUGAUUUUUCACAGAUGCGUAGUAAUU
rnacentral:lncRNA from 1 species